rnacentral:lncRNA from 1 species
GGAGUUUCUAACAAAAAAAGUGAGCAUUUUCCUGCUACCAUCAUCCAAAAAAUCUUGGAAGUUGCAGGAUGUGCGGGUGGCUUAUUGCUUCUUGGAUUGUUGCUGUAGCAUGUGAGCUUCUACUGCUGGAAACUAGUGUCUUUAUUUUUUUGAGCACAUGAGUCUGGAACCCUAUUAUUCCCCUGUGGAAGCUCUGCAAAGAUGGCAGUUGACUGCAUGUGAAGCUGUUGCUGAUGAAAGUUCAGAGAUGAUGAAACUGUGUGCUUUCUUAGUUUCUGAGUUGUCCAAUCUUGGCCUUCAUCCUUAUUCCUAUCAUUGUUGUUGUGUUUGAAGGCUUGGAACCCCUGAUGAAGCUUGCGAGUCCUAUGUGUCAUGUGUGGUUGUAAGUGAGCCAGGUAAAAGUGCCCUUAUGAUAGGCCUAGGAGAAAUGAUUCAAGGGAAUGAGC